ACUCCUACGGGAGGCAGCAGUGGGGAAUCUUGGACAAUGGGGCAAACCCUGAUCCAGCCAUGCCGCGUGAGUGAUGAAGGCCUUAGGGUCGUAAAGCUCUUUCGCCUGUGAAGAUAAUGACGGUAGCAGGUAAAGAAACCCCGGCUAACUCCGUGCCAGCAGCCGCGGUAAUACGGAGGGGGUUAGCGUUGUUCGGAAUUACUGGGGCGUAAAGCGCACGUAGGCGGAUCGGAAAGUUGGGGGUGAAAUCCCCGGGGCUCAACCCCGGAACUGCCUCCAAAACUAUCGGUCUAGAGUUCGAGAGAGGUGAGUGGAAUUCCGAGUGUAGAGGUGAAAUUCGUAGAUAUUCGGAGGAACACCAGUGGCGAAGGCGGCUCAUUGGCUCGAUACUGACGCUGAGGUGCGAAAGUGUGGGGAGCAAACAGGAUUAGAUACCCUGGUAGGACAGUG
rnacentral:rRNA from 1 species